ensembl:lncRNA
ACUAUUCAUAAAAGGAUUUCAGCUGAGGCACCAGCUAAAGCAUACAAGCCGUAGUCAUUUGGAGAUUUUGCUGCCUGAGAUUCCAACACCUGAUGGGAUGCUUGAGGUGUCCGAUAAGAUGACUGUUUUUGGGCAGUCAGAAAAAUAAGUUGUUGAGACCUGAAGUGAAGGCACUGGUGCCUGGCUCCUCCAUCCGUCAGCAACAUUCAGCUUAGGGCUUGUCUGAGACCGCGGCCGGCUCAUCCAUACCUCUGCAAACCCUUCCAUAGACCUUCCAUAGACUUUUAGCAGUCAGCUCCUUCUGCUGUUGUGCAAUGCCUGAAAAGAAACAAUUUAAAGCUGUUAGGAAUGCUUUUAUGAUUCUGUCUAAACACUGACCCCUGAACCCUCAGGGACCUAACUGACGUCACCUGGUAAAAGUGUGAGAGACUGAGAUCUGAAUCAGCAUCAUUACCGCAGUGGUUUUACAGUUUAGAGAUAAACUGGAAUAUG